AUUGAACGCUGGCGGCAGGCCUAACACAUGCAAGUCGAGCGGGGUUUUCGGACCUAGCGGCGGACGGGUGAGUAAUGCGUAGGAAGCUACCCGAUAGAGGGAGAUACCAGUUGGAAACGACUGUUAAUACCGCAUAAUGUCUACGGACCAAAGUGUGGGACCUUCGGGCCACAUGCUAUCGGAUGCGCCUACGUGGGAUUAGCUAGCUGGUGAGGUAAUGGCUCACCAAGGCGACGAUCCCUAGCUGGUUUGAGAGGAUGAUCAGCCACACUGGAACUGAGACACGGUCCAGACUCCUACGGGAGGCAGCAGUGGGGAAUAUUGGACAAUGGGCGCAAGCCUGAUCCAGCCAUGCCGCGUGUGUGAAGAAGGCCUUCGGGUUGUAAAGCACUUUCAGUAGGGAGGAAGCGUUGUGUGUUAAUAGUACGCAGCGUUGACGUUACCUACAGAAGAAGCACCGGCUAACUCUGUGCCAGCCGCCGCCGUAAGAC
rnacentral:rRNA from 1 species